rnacentral:rRNA from 1 species
UACGUAGGGCGCAAGCGUUGUCCGGAAUUAUUGGGCGUAAAGAGCUCGUAGGCGGUCUGUCACGUCUGCCGUGAAAACCCGAGGCUUAACCUCGUGGCUUGCGGUGGAUACGGGCAGACUAGAGGUAGGUAGGGGAGACGGAAUUCCCGGUGUAGCGGUGAAAUGCGCAGAUAUCGGGAGGAACACCGGUGGCGAAGGCGGUUCUCUGGGCCUUACCUGACGCUGAGGAGCGAAAGCGUGGGGAGCAAACAGG